rnacentral:rRNA from 1 species
UACGUAGGGUGCGAGCGUUAAUUGGAAUUACUGGGCGUAAAGCGUGCGCAGGCGGUUUUGUAAGCCAGAUGUGAAAUCCCCGGGCUCAACCUGGGAAUUGCGAUGGAGACUGCAAGGCUAGAAUCUGGCAGAGGGGGGUAGAAUUCCACGUGUAGCAGUGAAAUGCGUAGAGAUGUGGAGGAACACCGAUGGCGAAGGCAGCCCCCUGGGUCAAGAUUGACGCUCAUGCACGAAAGCGUGGGGAGCAAACAGG